CCGAGCUCGGCGGGACGGCCCCGAAACAAAAAGCGAAAGCGGCGGCCGCUGCCUCCCGCUCUGCCGGGCUGCCGCGCUCUGCCCGCGGCUGACGUCAAGGGCCCAAAUUCCUGCCUUUCCCUGCAGGCAGAUUUGUCCAUUAGCUGUUCGGUAUCUGCAUCUGCCCUGAAGAGAGCUGCAAGACAGAAGGGUUACAUUAUGUUCAGGCUGCGGAGGGGAGCAUUUCCAAGCCUUUUUCAUUUGGAAAGAGAUUUCUGGGAUAUGCAGAUUCCACCCUUCUGACAUCACUGCCUCAUCUCGCCUCAUCGGUGCCUCAUGACACAACCCCUCUCCACAGCACUGAGUCAGCACCACUGUGUGAUCUCUUCUUGGCCAUGCAAGAUGGUGAAAAGCUGCCCAUAAUGGUGAAAGCAUAGAGGGACCUCUAAACAGGUCCACAAAGGGAUUAAAAAACUCAUGGUCAUCUUAUGAGAACCCCUCCCAGGAAAUAACAUGUGCUUGGAAAAAUUUACUGUACAGUAACACAGCAGUGUUCUAUGGGAGUGCUCCCACAGCAGAUGGAACAAUAAUUCAUACUGUGUGUUCAAAGAAAGGAGCAAGGAACACUUGCACUUCACUCCUGGAGCUUCAAAAAAGCUGCCAAGCAUAUAUCCCCCUGUAACUAACAGGUACAGGCUGAUUCUGCCUGCUGCAGUCUUCUAUAGGCCUGGACUGAGAGAAUAUUUCUUAAAGCAUCCCUGGAAGUCUCCAAGGCCAGGUUG